rnacentral:lncRNA from 1 species
GAGGCCAUUUGAGGACCUACAGGCUACAUACAGCCCGCGAGGUUAGGCAAGGGCGCCAUUGAAGAGGAAGGUGUACCGUAGGUCUGUUGAUCUCGUUGAUCUUGAAUCAUUGAGCAUGAUAUUAAUGUAUAAAGUACGUGCUACAUACUACGUACUUACGUCCUAUGUCAUUGGUGUACUUCCACAAAUGGCCGCCGCUGAGUGCGUGAUUGGCUAUGGAGCAGAUUGUCAAUCGAACACCCUUGCAUUGUAUUGGUAAGAGAAACCACCAGCGCGAGUCUCAAGCCAGGCCCUUGGUGUCCAAUCCGAGGUAAGCUUUUUUGUUUCAUAGUUCGGUUUUUUUCCGGAGUUAUGCAGAAACAUCCGUUGGUUAGCAACAACGUGCGAGCAAGCUCGAUUAUUUUCAUUAGCAAAUUCGAAUUCCUAACAUAACUAAUGAUAUUAAUGCUAUCGUUUGUAUACUACAGUAACAUGUAUACUCACCGCUCCGUUGAUCAACAAUGAUGGUCAGCCAUAGCUUCCGGGUACAUAUCACAUCUGGAGCAGCUUGAAAUGCACCAAAUCUCGCCGCGGCUUUCGCAAUCUCCACCGGAAAACACGCCAGCGGAUUAGUUAUUAGCUUAGGGAUGUGUAUACGUACGUAGAAUUUCCAACUCGGGAUGCAACACUGAUGACAGCACCGGAAGGCAUCCCCACCACGGCACAACGGGUUUUAACCUGCCGAUCCCCGGUGUACUCUUUUUUCUAUUGUUCGACUUGUAUAUCGUAAGCAAUAAAACGAAGAUAAGUUAACUAACUAGUUAACUUAGAUGAAGAACGAACGCUAGUGCGGUUGGAUUUUGAAUUCGACGGACUGACGACCCGACAAUGCAUUGGACCAAUUAGAGACGCGAACCGACUCAUCGGUGAUGGCACCAGCGCGAUCGUCAAAGAAUACGUACUACUGUAGUACGUAGUAUGUAUACUGGAAUUCGUCUAGUCGGUCAGUUCGGUGGGUAUUGGACUGUGCGACCUGCAUUGAUCUGAAAAAAAAAAAAAAAAAAAAAAAAAAAAAACUCGGAAUCUGGAACCACGAUGUCGGUAGUUGCUCGCUUCAUCAUGACUGACUCGCGAGUCUCGUUGCACAUGGAGCUACCUAUGCAACUUAGGAAGUAUAGCAUAUAUAAAGUUCGUAUAUAGAGUUCGUUGAUCAUGUCAUAUAUUCAGGGGCGUCUCGGAUGCAAGCCUCUAUUCCGCAAGGACCUGGCAAGUGCUAAGCCGUGAGUAGAUAAAGCUACCUAGCUUGAUGGUUCGCCUUAUCUUUGCUGCGGGUACAAACAACGAAGCCCGGGCAGUUUCACGACAUCUGUCGCAGUGUCGCACAGUGUAUGUACUAUGUACGCUGUAGUAGGUAGUUAGUAGUAGUAGGACACCAGGUCUACUAUGCACUGUCUCGAUUUAGCCGGCGGUUUUCGAACAAGUGAGAUUGAUAAGGAUUCCGAAGUCGGGGGUCGUUAUCUCCUGUACACCACACGUCAGAAAGUGCUGUGGAUGUUGUUCUCUGUACGUGGACAACACCAAACCCAUAUUGACAGGGGUGCUCAUGCAUCCCUGAAGUCGUGAUAGCAACUCAUUUGUACCCGAGUAAACGUAUGGACUAGAGGUUUGUUCCUGAAUCGUCCAUCCCGGUUGUUGGAGAUCAUCAGAUCGUGGAAUGAUGCAUGUUCCUUGCAGAGGUGAUAGAGCCAGAGCUUGUCGACUGUUGGUCGUGACUCCUCCCCAGGGUCGCUCGUUGAUGCUCAUGACCAUGGUUCGAGGUCACAUGACGGCAAGUUCUCCCAUCUGAGUCUUUUCAUAGUUGCAAUUAUCCCUGAAAUGGCAUGCAUUCCGGAUAAACGGCAAAAGUUCGCCCAGGACAUCCAUGGAUGUUGCUACAAGUAUAGCCAAUCACUCGAGAGAAACGGUUUGAUGUCAUUUAUCCAAGAUAUUCUACAAUCGCACGCGAGCAGAUCUCGUUGUCAUCAGCGCAUUUCUCACCGGUAUUUGCGAGAAGAGGCAGUAGAUGACGACCGUUACGGAGAAGGCUUUGUCUGAGGUUAAAUCUGAUCACAAUGUAUCUGAUGAAGUGUAUACACAGUCACCGGGACGAUAAGAUUCCUCCACCCACUUGAAAAACAGCGUAGAUAGGCAUUCAAGUGAUGGGCAUUAACCAGUUAGUAUUUACAGAUUGUGCUCUCCAAUCGUUCGGGAGUUCUCAGCCUCGGCGUGUACAUCCUCAGUUCCGUCAGUGACUAUAUUCGCGACA